rnacentral:rRNA from 1 species
GCCAGACUCCUACGGGAGGCAGCAGUGGGGAAUAUUGCACAAUGGGGGGAACCCUGAUGCAGCGACGCCGCGUGGGUGAAGGAGCACCUCGGUGCGUAAAGCCCUAUCGGCAGGGAAGAAAAGCGAACAGGUUCGCCUGGACGGUACCUGACUAAGAAGCCCCGGCUAACUACGUGCCAGCAGCCGCGGUAAUACGUAGGGGGCGAGCGUUAUCCGGAUUCAUUGGGCGUAAAGCGCGCGUAGGCGGCCGCCUAAGCGGGACCUCUAACCCCGGGGCUCAACCCCGGGCCGGGUCCCGGACUGGGCGGCUCGAGUGCGGUAGAGGAGAGCGGAAUUCCCGGUGUAGCGGUGGAAUGCGCAGAUAUCGGGAAGAACACCGAUGGCGAAGGCAGCUCUCUGGGCCGUCACUGACGCUGAGGCGCGAAAGCUGGGGGAGCGAACAGGAUUAGAUACCCGAGUA